rnacentral:tRNA from 2 species
GCUGGCGUAGCUUACAUAAAGCGUGACACUGAAGAUGUUAAGACGGGCCCUAGAAAGCUCCGCGUGCA